rnacentral:rRNA from 1 species
CAGUCGCCACGGGAAUACGGAGGGAGCUAGCGUUGUUCGGAAUUACUGGGCGUAAAGCGCGCGUAGGCGGUUACUCAAGUCAGAGGUGAAAGCCCGGGGCUCAACCCCGGAACUGCCUUUGAAACUAGGUGACUAGAAUCUUGGAGAGGUCAGUGGAAUUCCGAGUGUAGAGGUGAAAUUCGUAGAUAUUCGGAAGAACACCAGUGGCGAAGGCGACUGACUGGACAAGUAUUGACGCUGAGGUGCGAAAGCGUGGGGAGCAAACAGGAUUAGAUACCCGCGUAGUCCCUGUCUCUUAUAU